UUAUAAAUCAUCCUUGCACUAC
rnacentral:miRNA from 1 species